UACGUAGGGGGCAAGCGUUGUCCGGAUUUAUUGGGCGUAAAGAGCGUGUAGGCGGCCAGGUAGGUCAGCUGUGAAAACUCGAGGCUCAACCUCGAGACGUCGGUUGAAACCACCUGGCUAGAGUCCGGAAGAGGAGAGUGGAAUUCCUGGUGUAGCGGUGAAAUGCGCAGAUAUCAGGAAGAACACCCGUGGCGAAGGCGGCUCACUGGACCGGAACUGACGCUGAGGCGCGAAAGCGUGGGGAGCAAACGGG
rnacentral:rRNA from 1 species